ACGGCUCAGUAACACGUGGCUAAUCUGCCCUUGGGACGAAAACAACCCCGGGAAACUGGGGCUAAUUUUCGAUAGGUGAAGAACUCUGGAAUGAGUCUUCGCCCAAAAAGCUUCACGUUACGCUCGUGAAGUCGCCCAAGGAUGAGGCCGCGACCGAUCAGGUUGUUGGUGAGGUAAUGGCUCACCAAGCCUUUUACCGGUGCGGGCCGUGAGAGCGGGAGCCCGGAGAUGGGCACUGAGACAAGGGCCCAGGCCCUACGGGGCGCAGCAGUCGCGAAAACUUUGCAAUACACGAAAGUGUGACAGGGCUAUCCCGAGUGCCAUCCGCUGAGGAAGGCUUUUACCCAGUCUAGAACGCUGGGGGAAUAAGGAGAGGGCAAGUCUGGUGUCAGCCGCCGCGGUAAUACCAGCUCUCCGAGUGGUGUGGAUGUUUAUUGGGCCUAAAGCAUCCGUAGCUGGCUAAGUAAGUCCCUUGUUAAAUCCACCGAAUUAAUCGUUGGAUUGCGGGGGAUACUGCUUGGCUAGGGGACGAGAGAGGCAGACGGUAUUUCCGGGGUAGGGGUGAAAUCCUAUAAUCCCGGGAAGACCACCAGUGGCGAAGGCUGUCUGCUAGAACGCGCCCGACGGUGAGGGAUGAAAGCUGGGGGAGCGAACCGGAUUAGAUACCCGGGUAGUCCCAGCUAUAAACGAUGCACGCUAGGUGUUUGGACGGCCACGUGCCGUUCUAGUGCCGCAGGGAAGCUGUUAAGCCUGCCGCCUGGGGAGUACGAUCGCAAGAUUGAAACUUAAAGGAAUUGGCGGGGGAG
rnacentral:rRNA from 1 species